UACGAAGGGGGCUAGCGUUGUUCGGAAUUACUGGGCGUAAAGCGCACGUAGGCGGAUAUUUAAGUCGGGGGUGAAAUCCCGGGGCUCAACCCCGGAACUGCCUUCGAUACUGGGUAUCUUGAGUUCGGAAGAGGUGAGUGGAAUUGCGAGUGUAGAGGUGAAAUUCGUAGAUAUUCGCAGGAACACCAGUGGCGAAGGCGGCUCACUGGACCACAACUGACGCUGAGGCGCGAAAGCUAGGGGAGCAAACAGG
rnacentral:rRNA from 1 species